rnacentral:rRNA from 1 species
GAUGAACGCUGGCGGCGUGCCUAAUACAUGCAAGUCGAGCGAACGGACGAGAAGCUUGCUUCUCUGAUGUUAGCGGCGGACGGGUGAGUAACACGUGGAUAACCUACCUAUAAGACUGGGAUAACUUCGGGAAACCGGAGCUAAUACCGGAUAAUAUUUUGAACCGCAUGGUUCAAAAGUAAAAGACGGUCUUGCUGUCACUUAUAGAUGGAUCCGCGCUGCAUUAGCUAGUUGGUAAGGUAACGGCUUACCAAGGCAACGAUGCAUAGCCGACCCGAGAGGGUGAUCGGCCACACUGGAACUGAGACACGGUCCAGACUCCUACGGGAGGCAGCAGUAGGGAAUCUUCCGCAAUGGGCGAAAGCCUGACGGAGCAACGCCGCGUGAGUGAUGAAGGUCUUCGGAUCGUAAAACUCUGUUAUUAGGGAAGAACAUAUGUGUAAGUAACUGUGCACAUCUUGACGGUACCUAAUCAGAAAGCCACGGCUAACUACGUG